GAGCUUGCUCCCGGAUGUUAGCGGCGGACGGGUGAGUAACACGUGGGUAACCUGCCUGUAAGACUGGGAUAACUCCGGGAAACCGGAGCUAAUACCGGAUAGUUCCUUGAACCGCAUGGUUCAAGGAUGAAAGACGGUUUCGGCUGUCACUUACAGAUGGACCCGCGGCGCAUUAGCUAGUUGGUGAGGUAACGGCUCACCAAGGCGACGAUGCGUAGCCGACCUGAGAGGGUGAUCGGCCACACUGGGACUGAGACACGGCCCAGACUCCUACGGGAGGCAGCAGUAGGGAAUCUUCCGCAAUGGACGAAAGUCUGACGGAGCAACGCCGCGUGAGUGAUGAAGGUUUUCGGAUCGUAAAGCUCUGUUGUUAGGGAAGAACAAGUGCAAGAGUAACUGCUUGCACCUUGACGGUACCUAACCAGAAAGCCACGGCUAACUACGUGCCAGCAGCCGCGGUAAUACGUAGGUGGCAAGCGUUGUCCGGAAUUAUUGGGCGUAAAGGGCUCGCAGGCGGUUUCUUAAGUCUGAUGUGAAAGCCCCCGGCUCAACCGGGGAGGGUCAUUGGAAACUGGGAAACUUGAGUGCAGAAGAGGAGAGUGGAAUUCCACGUGUAGCGGUGAAAUGCGUAGAGAUGUGGAGGAACACCAGUGGCGAACGCGACUCUCUGGUCUGUAACUGACGCUGAGGAGCGAAAGCGUGGGGAGCGAACAGGAUUAGAUACCCUGGUAGUCCACGCCGUAAACGAUGAGUGCUAAGUGUUAGGGGGUUUCCGCCCCUUAGUGCUGCAGCUAACGCAUUAAGCACUCCGCCUGGGGAGUACGG
rnacentral:rRNA from 1 species